GACGAACGCUGGCGGCGUGCUUAACACAUGCAAGUCGAACGGAAAGGCCCUGCUUUUGUGGGGUGCUCGAGUGGAGAACGGGUGAGUAACACGUGAGUAACCUGCCCUUGACUUUGGGAUAACUUCAGGAAACUGGGGCUAAUACCGGAUAGGAGCUCCUGCUGCAUGGUGGGGGUUGGAAAGUUUCGGCGGUUGGGGAUGGACUCGCGGCUUAUCAGCUUGUUGGUGGGGUGGUGGCUUACCAAGGCUUUGACGGGUAGCCGGCCUGAGAGGGUGACCGGCCACAUUGGGACUGAGAUACGGCCCAGACUCCUACGGGAGGCAGCAGUGGGGAAUAUUGCACAAUGGGCGGAAGCCUGAUGCAGCAACGCCGCGUGCGGGAUGACGGCCUUCGGGUUGUAAACCGCUUUCGCCUGUGACGAAGCGUGAGUGACGGUAAUGGGUAAAGAAGCACCGGCUAACUACGUG
rnacentral:rRNA from 1 species